UACUGAAAAUACUUAUAAAAGUUGUUUUGAAAUUCGACACAAAAUCUCUACAAAUACAUAUUAUGUAAAAUUUUUCUACAACCCCACGCUUCUAUAAAAUACUCCAGAUAACAAUAUUCAACAAAAAAAACACUUAUUUAUCCACAUCAAAAAUAAUUUCUGUCAAAAUGGUCAUCUGCUCUUCAACGGAAAUUGGGUAAAAAUAUGUAUCUGAUACUUUUCAUAAAGGAAUCAUAAAUUAAAACCCCAUUGGAAGUUGGAACACAAAAAGAGUUCUAAGUUCUAACACUCAACAUAUUGUUUGCUACAUUCACGGAACUUCAACCUUCGUUUGGCGAAAUAGGAGCAAGCACAAGGUUCCAAUCUGUAUGGAUUCCAUUUGAAGUUUUGAGGAGAAGAUGUUGAUCACGAGGUACACCUAUCUCAAUUCCACCUUCCUUCUUCGUUUGUUUCACUCUGUUCCUUUCAGGCUUUAUGCUCAUUCCCCUUUCCCAAUUCCUCCUAACAAUAACAAUAAUAACAAUGUGGAUGAUGCUGUUGCUUCUUUUAUCACCCUUCUUGGUAAGCGCCAUUUGCCCCCUGUGGUUGAGUUCAACAAGAUUUUAGUGUCUCUUGUUAAGAUCAAACAAUACUCCACUGCUGUUUCGCUCUUUGCACAAAUGGAUUUUAGGGGAAUCACUCCUGAAUAUUUUACUCUCUGCAUCUUGAUAAAUUGUUUCUGCCAUUUGGGUCUCAUGGAUUCUGCUUUCUCUGUAUUGGCCAAGAUUAUCAAGUUGGGUCAUCAAUUGGAUGUGGUUGCUUUGAAUACCCUAAUGAAAGGUUUCUGUAUAAACAAGAAGGUCAGGGAAGCAUUAGAGUUUCAUGAUAAGGUAAGAGCUAUGGGAUUUCGGCUUGAUGAGGUCACUUAUGGGACCUUAAUCAAUGGGCUUUGUAAGAUAGGGCAGACAAGAGGAGCCAUUGAAUUACUGCAAAAGCUAGAGAAGCAACCUGUUAAACCCGGCGUAGUAAUGUACAAUGCUGUUAUUGAUGGGUUAUGUAAGGAUGGGCUUGUGACUGACGCUAAGAACUUGUUUCCCAAGAUGAUUGCACUAGGAAUAUCUCCUAAUGUUGUCAGUUACAGCUCCCUUAUUCACGGUUUUUGCUGUGCCAGUCGCUUAGAAGAAGCUACACAAUUGUUGAGUGAAAUGGUUAAAAGCAGCAUCAAGCCAAACAUAUAUACCUUCAGUAUAUUAAUUGAUGCUUUAUGUAAAAAGAGAAGAGCUGGAGAAGCCCAAAAGAUAUUUGAUAUGUUGUUGGAAAGUGGCCAUAAGCCUAAUGUUGUCACUUACAAUUCUUUGAUUGCUGGUUACUUUCUAAUCAAUAAAGUGAAUGAGGCAGCAAAGUUAUUUGACUGCAUGAACAAAGCAGGUUUGAUACACGAUGAUUACAGUUAUAACAUCAUGAUUCAUGGAUAUUGCAAGAACAAAAUGGUGGAUCAAGCGAUGAGUCUCUUUAAAGAAAUGCGUCACAAAAGUUUAAGUCCAGAUAGUAUAACUUACAGUACCCUUCUUGAUGGAUUAUGCAAAUCAGGGAGAAUAUCAUGCAUACAGAAUCUUCUUGAUGAAAUGCACGAAAGUGGACAACCCCCUAAUUUAAUCACUUACAAUAUAUUGCUAGAUGCUUUAUGCAAAAUCCAACAUCUUGAUGAAGCAAUUGCACUAUUUCAGAAAAUUGUUGACAAGGGGCAUCGUCCAGAUUUGUACAUGUGCACUAUUCUUUUGAAUGGUUUGUGCAAAUGUGGAAGAGUAAGGACUGCAAGAAAGUUUUUCCAGCUGCUCUUGGUCAACAAUUAUUGUCUAGAUGUUGUGACCUACAAUACUAUGAUACGUGGGCUUUCUAAAGAGGGCUUGAUUGGUGAAGCAAUGGUGUUAUUUUCAAAAAUGAAAGAAAAUGGUUGCCUUCCAAAUGCUGCAACUUAUGAAACAAUUAUUCGAGCCCAUCUUGUUAGAAAUAAGAAUGAGCAAGCAGUAAAGCUUCUUCGUGAAAUGAUCAGUAAAGGUCUACUAAUGGGCAGUAGUAAUGAGGAUUCCAAGUUUAUGACUCCCCGUGAGGUGGGACAGAUUCUUGAAUGGGAAUCUCGCUCUUCCAACCAGACGACGAGUGUCGAGUGAUGUGUAUUAUGUCGUAUUUCCAUAUCCUUAGGUUGAUAAAGAUAAGGAUUCUUUGAUAUAAUGCAAAAUAUUGAGAGGGAAUGGUUAAGUCAUAGAUAAUCUCCUUCGGAGUGCCACGGUUGAGACUCAUGUUAGAGCUUUUCUGGUGAGGUCGAUCAAGGAGCUGCUGACAAAACCGCAGAAGGUGGUGUUUGGCACAUCUUCAGAGAGGCGAAUCAAUGUGCCGAUGCUCUGGCCAAAUAUGGGCAAGGAAUGGAGAAAGGGGUCAUGCUGUUCGAAGAAGUCCCAGCUAUAGUGGUUCUCUUGGUGGAAGCUGAUGAGCGUGGAGUGGAGUUGUGCAAAACCACUCUUGUUUACUGUUUUUCUUUUUCCUGGGCUUUAGGCCCCGUUUUAGAUCGAAAAAAUAGAUGGCAAUCAAGGGUCGAUUAUACUCAUAAAGAACUGCCCCUAAAAGCAUAACUUAGCAUACAAGGGACUAACCUCUGAAUGCUGGCCAAAAUCUUCAACUAUUAUUUGUUUCUUUCCAGAGCAUUUUCCCUAACCUGAAGCAAGUUUAAAGGGGGUUAAAAUAAGCAUAUAAAUGUUAUUUUUAGACUAUACUCUUUUUUGCUCUGUCUCUAUGUAACUUUAAGCUCAUAGACUGAAACUGUGAAAACGGCUACUGAUGUAAUUUUCAGGUUAUGUGUAUAUUA